UGGGGAAUAUUGGACAAUGGGCGAAAGCCUGAUCCAGCCAUGCCGCGUGUGUGAAGAAGGUCUUCGGAUUGUAAAGCACUUUAAGUUGGGAGGAAGGGCAGUAAGCGAAUACCUUGCUGUUUUGACGUUACCGACAGAAUAAGCACCGGCUAACUCUGUGCCAGCAGCCGCGGUAAUACAGAGGGUGCAAGCGUUAAUCGGAAUUACUGGGUGUAAAGCGCGCGUAGGUGGUUCGUUAAGUUGAAUGUGAAAGCCCCGGGCUCAACCUGGGAACUGCAUCCAAAACUGGCGAGCUAGAGUAGGGCAGAGGGUGUUGGAAUUUCCUGUGUAGCGGUGAAAUGCGUAGAUAUAGGAAGGAACACCAGUGGCGAAGGCGACCACCUGGGCUCAUACUGACACUGAGGUGCGAAAGCGUGGGGAGCAAACAGG
rnacentral:rRNA from 1 species